rnacentral:lncRNA from 1 species
CAGAGUCUUCUUUUUAGCAAACUUUGACUCAGGCCUCUGUAGGAAUAGAGUAGGGGCUCAGAAUGUGAUUGGAAGUGUGGGAUCCUAGGGGACAGGGUCCAGGUGGCCCAAGGGAAGUUACUAGAAGAAGCCAUUUAGAAAUCUUGGUCCCCUGGAGAAUCCAUUAGAAACAUCAGGGGCUGUCUUUCUAUGGCUCCUCUCAAAUUUUAAAUCCAUAUAUUUUUCUAGGAAGAGGGUCCAAACGUUUCAUAAGAUUUAUGAAGGUGUAUAUGCCCCCUUCCUAAUUAUUAAGAGCUAUUGAUCUCAGAGAAGAGGCAGAGUGCAUAUGCUUUAGGCAAUUCUCCAGAAAAAAUGAUUUCUUGUCAUUGAGCUUUAGAUAAAGAUUGGAGAACAGAGAAAUUGAAAUUAUGUUCUUUGGCACAAGCCUGGAAUGCAAAUGUUCAAUAUUGACAAAUAAGUGAAGAUUCGUAUGCUUUAUAUCUAUAAUUAUAAUAUGAUUUCCUCCUUUUUCCCUCCUUCUCUUCUUUGUUGGUAUCCUUUGAUUUUCCCAUUAUUUAUAUAGGUAUAAUCAUUUCUGUUGAGACCCUGUUUUGACUUCAGAUGGACCUGAAAAUCACCAGCAAGUAGCAUUUUUAUUGUUUUCAUAAUCCAUGUAAACUUGAAAUAACUUUUUAUCUCUUAAGGAUAUUGUAAAAAUUAAACGAGAUAAUAUAUUUGGUCUAAAAGCACUUAGUAUAAUGCUUACCUUUUACUAAGGUCUCAUUAAAUGUUUGCAAUUAUUAUAAUAAUAAUUAUUAACUAUAGGUGUACUAUAGUGUGAUUGUAGGCUCUGGUUAUGCACCUUUAUCUUACUUGGAAGAGCAACCACCAUCCCGAAUGUCGAGUCACCACAGUGAUGGGAAAAAUCCCUGCAUGAUCUCCCACCUGCACUAACACAUCCCAGUGUGGGGACACUCAUGAGACGUCCAGUUGCCACUGGUUGGCCUGAGAAUCCCCAAAGGUAUACAGCACAUGGUAAUUUGAAGUUUUAUGGAAGAAUGAAUUUGAAAAU